GUCUACAGCCAUACCACCCUGAAUGCGCCCAUCUGGUCUGAUCUCGGAAGCUAAGCAGGGUCGGGCCUGGUUAGUCCUUGGAUGGGAGAAUAUUGAAUUAUAAUUUAUUGACUAUAUAGUAGAAGACU
ensembl:rRNA 5S_rRNA 5S ribosomal RNA